rnacentral:pre_miRNA from 1 species
UGAUGAAAAUAAUCCCUGGAAAAGGGGAACAAGAAGGACAAAUGACUUCUUGUUCCCCUUCUCCAGGGAUUAUUUUCAUCAUUC